GCCGAAGUGGCGGAACUGGCAGACGCGCUAGCUUCAGGAGCUAGUGGGGUUACCCCCAUGGAGGUUCGAGUCCUCUCUUCGGCACCA
rnacentral:tRNA from 1 species